rnacentral:tRNA from 1 species
UCCAUGUUGGUCAGGCGUCGAAGACUGCCGGUCUUGCCGGCGCUGGCCCCGGUUCAGCCGGGGCUCGGGU